UGAGGAAUAUUGGUCAAUGGCCGGAAGGCUGAACCAGCCAAGUCGCGUGAGGGAAUAAGGCCCUAUGGGUCGUAAACCUCUUUUGUCAGGGAGCAAAGGCGUCCACGUGUGGACGAAAGGAGAGUACCUGAAGAAAAAGCAUCGGCUAACUCCGUGCCAGCAGCCGCGGUAAUACGGAGGAUGCGAGCGUUAUCCGGAUUUAUUGGGUUUAAAGGGUGCGUAGGCGGAGUGUCAAGUCAGCGGUAAAAUUUCGGGGCUCAACCCCGUCGUGCCGUUGAAACUGACGCCCUUGAGUGAGUGAGA
rnacentral:rRNA from 1 species